GGGCUCGUGGCGGAACUGGUAGACGCGGCGGACUUAAAAUCCGCUGAGGGCAACCUCAUCUGGGUUCGAAUCCCAGCGGGCCCA
rnacentral:tRNA from 1 species